AUUAGCAGCCAUAUCACCCUGCAACUCACAACUGGUAACCCAGUGAAGCUAAGCAGGUGUGAGCCUGGUCAGUACCUGGAUAGGAGACCUCCUGGGAAAAGCUAAGGUAGCUGCUGGAA
ensembl:rRNA 5S_rRNA 5S ribosomal RNA